UGUUUUACUUUGAUGUGACUGGAUCUAUGAUAAGCAGAUCCAUACCAGACUGUCAGGGGGUCUAUGAUAAGCAGAUCAAUACCAGACUGUCAGGGGGUCUAUGAUAAGCAGAUCAAUACCAGACUGUCAGGGGGUCUAUGAUAAGCAGAUCCAUACCAGACUGUCAGGGAGUCUAUGAUAAGCAGAUCCAUACCAGACUGUCAGGGAGUCUAUGAUAAGCAGAUCAAUACCAGACUGUCAGGGGGUCUAUGAUAAGCAGAUCAAUACCAGACUGUCAGGGGGUCUAUGAUAAGCAGAUCAAUACCAGCAGAUUGCCAGGGGGUCUAUGAUAAGCAGAUCAAUACCAGACUGUCAGGGGGUCUAUGAUAAGCAGAUCAAUACCAGACUGUCAGGGGGUCUAUGAUAAGCAGAUCCAUACCAGACUGUCAGGGAGUCUAUGAUAAGCAGAUCCAUACCAGACUGUCAGGGAGUCUAUGAUAAGCAGAUCAAUACCAGACUGUCAGGGGGUCUAUGAUAAGCAGAUCAAUACCAGACUGUCAGGGGGUCUAUGAUAAGCAGAUCAAUACCAGCAGAUUGCCAGGGGG
rnacentral:lncRNA from 13 species